GACGAACGCUGGCGGCGUGCUUAACACAUGCAAGUCGAACGGAAAGGCCCUGCUUUUGUGGGGUGCUCGAGUGGCGAACGGGUGAGUAACACGUGAGUAACCUGCCCUUGACUUUGGGAUAACUUCAGGAAACUGGGGCUAAUACCGGAUAGGAGCUCCUGCUGCAUGGUGGGGGUUGGAAAGUUUCGGCGGUUGGGGAUGGACUCGCGGCUUAUCAGCUUGUUGGUGGGGUAGUGGCUUACCAAGGCUUUGACGGGUAGCCGGCCUGAGAGGGUGACCGGCCACAUUGGGACUGAAAUACGGCCCAGACUCCUACGGGAGGCAGCAGUGGGGAAUAUUGCACAAUGGGCGGAAGCCUGAUGCAGCAACGCCGCGUGCGGGAUGACGGCCUUCGGGUUGUAAACCGCUUUCGCCUGUGACGAAGCGUGAGUGACGGUAAUGGGUAAAGAAGCACCGGCUAACUACGU
rnacentral:rRNA from 1 species